GUGCUCGCUUCAGCAGCACAUAUACCAAACUGGAAUGAUACCUAGAAGAUUAGCAUGGGCCCUGCGCGCAAGGAUGACAUGCAAAUUUGUGAAGCGUUCGAAUAUCUC